CAAUUUCCAAGUUCGGCAACUUGGAAAUCGGUAGUCAAGACGUCAAUUUAUCAGGUUGAGGUAGUAAAGUGGCAUCAUCGUAUGGCAGUGGAUCCUGAUUUUGUUGUUUUUAAAGACAUUCACUCGUUUUGUGUACCGCAUGCGGCGUGGAGAGUAGCACUACGUCACCCACUGAUGCGCAGACAGGCCCAUUUUGUAACAUCAACGUGCUGUCU
rnacentral:lncRNA from 1 species